UAGAGCUGGGGAAAUGAAAGUUCAGAUUGGCUUUAGGCUCAGAUGGGAUCUCACAGCAGUGAGCUGUUCCAGUGAGACAGGAUGUCCCAGGGGUGACAGCCCUGAAUCAAGACAUCUUUCCCUAGUGUUUGGAGUUGGUAAAGGGUAGGAGGGUGAUGGAGGUCGGGUUGAUGGUGUGCCUAGCCUCAGGCUGUACUACAUCACAACUGAGCCCUCCCUGGUGUGUGUGUGUGUGUGUGUGUGUGUGUGUGUGUGUGUGUGUGUGUGUGUAUGUUGUGUACAUAUGUUUUGCAAAGGGUGUGUGAAGGGAGCCACUCACUCAGAAACCUAGUACAUGCUAGCAAUAGGUUAGACAGCUCCCAUGAGUUACUUAGCCACACAGCUAUCCUGUGUACUGGGAGUCAUUACCAACAUGUAAUGGCGAAACCAGUUAAUGUUGGAAAACCACUGGUUGGCUUAAAUUCACUUUGGGAAGUCUCAGAGCCCAUAUCUCUCAGUCUGAUCACUGUCACUUCUCUAGGCCCCUCUGGUAAAAUCUGGUUUUAGCUUCCCUCACCAGGAGACAGGGCAUGGGGUUUUGUCUUCAGACUCAAGAUACUGGAGGGUGAUUGUGGCCUAUACUAGUAUGUACCUUCUAUACCCCUGCUGUUAUCUUUGCCGUCAACACAUUGACAGUUUUUGAGUCGCAUUACUUUUUAGAAUAUAUAUAUCUAUAUCUAAACACACACACACACAUACACACACACACACACUUGUGUUUCAAGACAGGGUUUCUGUGUAACGUUACUACUGGCUGUCCUGGUACUAGCUCUGUAGACCAGGCUGGCCUCGAACUCAGAGAUCCACCUGCCUCUGCCUGCCAAGCGCUGGGAUUAAAGGGAGCAGGAGUGAAGUUGCAGGACUAUGCUCAGUCCAUGUGUGUCACAGCUGGUGCAGAGCAGACACGGGCACUAAUGUGGCUGACAUUUAUAGAGCCAGGUAGGAACUGGUUGGAUCAUGAAGGCAAAAGGAAGCCGUUUCUGGCGUCUGAACAUGAGAGUGUCUGAAGGUGAGUUCUAAGGCGUUGUAUGCAGGGGUAACUAGCAAGAACAGUGAGGUAGGAAACAGGGGCUAUGGAGGCCUGGGGACCAGAACUCUACCUAGGCUUUCAGUCCAGCUGCUCACUGGGGAGCAGGAAGGAGCUGGCAGUUCAUUUCAGUCCCAGAGGCAGCCAGGAGACCCGGGAUGCAAAAGGCCAGGAGGUGAAUGUCUGGUUAUAAUGGUCAAAGCAAAACAAAAGCAUGGGGGUGAGGGAGCUAGGGGUGUGGUUCAGGGUGCAGAUACUUGCCAUGUGUACACAAGGCCCCGGAGUUGAGGCCAAAUGUCACAAUAACAAGGGAGAAAAAAAAUCCAAAAAGGGCAAAUGCUUAUCAAAGUCACACAAUGGGAGUGUGGCCAAGUAGUUGAGACACAAUUAUACCAGGGUUCCUGAAAAAUCUUUGGUGGCAUCUGGGAUGGUACCCACUUUCCCUCUG
rnacentral:lncRNA from 1 species